UUUCAAUUUUGUAGUUACAAUUGCAAAUAACUAUUAAUUAUAAGUUUAAAACUGUGGGUUUAAACCUACAAUGAAUU
rnacentral:tRNA from 1 species